ACCCAAGAGGAGACUGGUUGCAGUUGAGGUCAACUGGGAACCUGAGCACAUAUAACUGUCAGCUGCUAAAAGGUAUUCUUUAUCUAAAUUGAGGCCACUCAGGAUCACAGACCACUGCUCUUUUAUAAAAGUUAUUUUUUCUCAGUGGGUUUUUGGGGAAAGAUCAAAAACAUGAAAACUAGCCUUCGGUAAUGAUGGAACUGAUAGAUUAGAGAAAAUCCACUUUAUUU
rnacentral:lncRNA from 1 species